AAAAUCACCUCAUAAGUUAGACGAUAAGAGGUACCAUCUAUGAUUCCAAUUAUUAAGAUUUUUACUUUAUUCUUUAAGGGGAUAAUUUAGAAAUUAAAAUUAUAGAAACAUAGAGGGUGGCACAGAAUCGGAGGCCCCGACUGUUUACUAAAAACACAACACAGUGCAAUCAUUAAUGUGGUAGUAUACUGUGUGAAAUUUGCCCAAUGCCAUUAAUAUAAAAGCGGUCAUGGGAAACUGUGACUAAUUGAAAAUCUGGUUAAUAGCGGUCUUAAUCAUGAGGAUCCUAAGGUAGCAAAAUAAAUUGGCCAUUAAAUGUGGUCCGGUAUCAAUAAUGUAACGAUGGCCUCACUGUCUCUACAACUUGCUCAGUGAAAUUGAAUUACGCGUGCAGAUGCGCGUUACCUCCAGUGGGACGGGAAGACCCUAUGCAGCUUCU
rnacentral:rRNA from 1 species